CUGUCCAACCCCUCAUUAUGUUUUAAUUAUGUUAUUAAUGUUAAUAAUGUUAUUAAUGUUUCCCUCAUUAAGUUUCAUCCACAGGUAAAGGAACCCAAGCUGGGCCCAAUGCCAAGUGCACUUCUUCAAUGUUACAUUCUGGGACAGGAGAGAGGAUCACUGGUUGAGCCUACCUACUCUGUGGACACAUUGUAAUCCUGAAACUGUUCUGAGCUUCCAUUCAUGGCCAGGACACCUGAUCACUUCAUCGUUGGGUUCUGUGUUUGAAAACUGGGCCAGCUCUGAACCUGGGUGACAGAACACACUGUGGAGAAACCUUGUCUCUAGGAUCUUGCUCAUACACUCUUGGCUCCUCUUGCUCUGGUGGAGCUCCUCAGUGCCCACUGGGAAAGUGAUCUGGCUCCCAAGACCACCAGCCUGUUCAAGUCAUGGAUGGCACCAGUUUUCACAGGCUGAGUGAUUAGAAAACAGACUCUGGGACAGCUGUGUACAUAAGAGUCAUCUGGGCAUUGCUCUUACAAUCCCUGUAGAAGACAAGAGCUCAGAUUGACCCACCCGAAGUCCCUGGGAUUCACUUCUUCACCCUUCACACCUCGGCUUGCAGAAACAAGAUGCCACGUUUGACUUUAUGUGGUUGCUGGGAACAUGAAUUUGGGUCCUAGGGUUUACAAGUCAAGCACUUUACCCAUUGACCAUCUCCCUAGCCGUGUGACUGGCUUCUUUACCUUCAUGAUAACUACUCAUCAGCUAUAUUUUAAUCUGGCAAGGGGACUUGAAUUUGAAUGAGAUGACUCUAGUUAAAUAGUUUUGAUGAGGAGUGACAACUGAAGGCUCUUCGGGGCUAAAGGGAUACUUAGGUGUUGUGUUCCAUCCCCACCCCUGUUGACUAUAUAGGGCGAUACAAUGACUAACACAGGCUGGACACUUUAGAAGACAAACUUCAGACAAUUCCCCACCAAAAGGAUGUAUACCCUGGUUAUGGGUUUUUGGUUUGGGAGACUAUGUAUGCUAAGAUGAAUGUAGCUUGAUGAGUUGGGAAGACACUACAUAUGAGAUGAGCCAUGGUAAAGACUGCAUAAAGACAGGGGCAGACUUGGAUCUUUCCUUUCUCGGUUGCUAAAUGACUGAAAAAGCCUUUUAACCCCAUAGACCUUCUGCUCAUCUAAACAGAGUGGAGGUUGGCACUAUCUAAGACAUAUAAAGAACCGUCAAAACUCAGUGAUUAAAAUAUUAGACUAGGAAACUUAGAAAAGACAGAUCUGCCACUAAAGAGGCUAUAAAGAUGACAAAGUAGUAUAUGAAAAGAGGAUCAACAGCAUAAGCCAUCAUAGAAACACUCAGUAAACAUACAGUAUGAUACACUAAGGAGUUGAGGGGUCACUCAGUGGUUAGGGGCACAGAGGACUCUGCCAGAGGACUUGAGUUCACUUCCCAUCUCAUGUGGUUCGCAAUUGCCUAUAACUCCAGCUCCAAGGGUGAGGAUGGUCUUCCACACACACAUGCACACACACACACACACACACACACACACACACACACACACACACAUACACACAUACAUGCACAAAUGCGCAUGCUCACACACAAACACAUACUCACAUAUAUAAAUAAAAUAGAGAUCCUACCCUACUAUCAGAAUGGUUCAAAAAAUUUAAGGACAUCAACAAACACUGGCAAGGAUGUCAGACUCAUACGCAGCUACUGAGAAUGUAAAAUGGGACAAUCAGUCUAAAAACUGCAUUGA
rnacentral:lncRNA from 1 species